AUGUACUACAAGCCUUGCAAAUGGCUCAUGUUCCUCUUAUCUGUUCUUUGGACAACAUGGUGCCAAGUUACAUUUGUUUGCCAGAACCUGUUCUUACAUACCUUUGUUGAUUAUUUAUUUAUUUAUGCCUUACAGCAGCUUACUACUACAUAUUUCUUACAAGAAGUUCGUCACAGUUUCUUUGGACUCUUACAAGAUCCAAGCCUACACAAAUCCCUAUUACCACCCCUAAUUAACUUGGUCCUCUUCACACUUUGUUCACAUGUCAUACACCACGGACGUGUAGUCCUGGAGAACCGAGCUGGUUUCAGGGGUGAAGUCCCAGCAGUUCACUGGGGACCUGCCCUGCUCAUAGCUCCACCAGUCCACACCCCCUUGCUGCGUGACGACACUGUCGGUCGUCGUCGUCGUAGCGCUGUAGAGAAGCUCCUGAAGCUCGGCUUCGAUGGUGACGAUGUUGGAGUUGCCCGCGCUCGACGGCGAGGCCAGGCCGUCCAUGGUGGCUGUCGUCUCCAUCUGCUGCUGUCCGCCGAGGUUCUGAUCGUUCAGGGAGCUGGACUGCCCCUGCUCAGCAGCUACUGUUACAUCGAAGCUGCUGCUGCGGCUGCUGUUGCUGUUGUUGUUGCUGUUGUUACUGUGGGUGGCGGCCACCUGAUGAUGGCUGCUAGGCUGCCACAGGUGCAAGGGGUUGUUGUGGUUGCUGAUGCUGCUGAGGGGGUUCUGCAUUUCCUGCAGCUGCAUGCAGAGCUGGAUCCUCUCCAUGGCCGACGCGCUCAGCGGCUGCUGCUCGCCGCCGUCGUUGGCGCCGUCCAGCUCGCCCUGGCGGUGCUGCUGCGUGCCGGCGCCGCGGUCCUUGCGGCGGCCGCCGAGGAGCCGCUUCUUGAGCUUGGUGUUCCAGUAGUUUUUGACGUCGUUGUCCGUCCUUCCCGGCAGCUGUGCGGCGAUGAUUGA
rnacentral:rRNA from 1 species